CCAGCCCAUUAUAUUAUUAUUGUUGUUGUUGUUAUUAUUAUUACUAUUAUUAUUAUUAUUUUAUCAUUAUUAUUCACUGAGGCAGAGCCCAGGCUGGGUUCUAAUCUUUGAUCCUCCUGCCUCAGCCUCCCAAGUGCUGAGAUUACAGGCGUGUGCCGCCCCGCCCCGGCUUGAUAAGAUUAUCCUAACCCAGAGCAGACGAGUUAUCCUAUCAGCCCCUCUGCGAGUAACACAGGUGCACCCUCCAGUCAUGCUUUAUUAACAUCAAAAUAGCCUGGAAGGCGGGCUUACCUGGGGUUUAAAAGGAGCCCCUAGGGGUUUGGGGACGACCGGUUUCUCCCGCAGUCUUCGGCCCCUGGGCUCAGAGUCGGCCUGGGACGCUGAAGCUUCUCCCGGUCAUGCUGGAUCGAGGCCGGGACGGGUCCUCCCUGCAGCCCAUGGAGCCCUCCCCACAGCCCAUGGAGCCCGUGCCCAUGGCCGAGGAGGCGGCGGCCGUACAGCGGGACGAAGAGAGCUCCCAAACGCUGCUCAGGGACUUCCGAAACUUGACUCUCAACGCUGCCGAGCAGCGCCCUUCCCCUCCACCCACGGGGUCUCCUCGGGGCAGCAGGGACAGUGACCAACGGCGCAGCCCAAGCCUGGGGCUGGCGGCCCCCCGCGUCCGCAGACGCGGAGUGCGAACCGUGCUGUCCGUGCGCAGGGAGCGCAUGGCACGCAUGCUCACGAACGCCCGGCGGUUCGUGCAGGUGAGCGGGGGACUCCGGAUGAGGGUGGGAUCCAAGGGCACCCCCGCCCCGAGUCUGCCAGUGCCCCUCUCCUUGCUAGUUUCCAAUAAGAGCUUUUUUCUCUUUAUGAAGGCUUUCCGAAACGAGCGUCUGAAGGGAGCGAAGGCAAGUACGGAGGUGCUACAGGGUCUCUGCGUUGCCAUGAUAACCGAGGAAGUCUGGCUGGGUCCAGUGGGUUUGGAGGAGGGAGGGGAGCGGGCGAGAACGACUUGAUCCCCAGCAGGAGAAAUCCGUCCGCGGUUGUUCCCAGAUGGAACCGUGGCCUUAGCUGUGAGCUCCGCCCCCAGCCCUGUGUUUCUUUGAGACCGGUCCCACCGAGUUGGUGAAUCACUCACCUGGGCUGGAACUAGCGAUUUCCUCACCUCAGCCAGCCCCCAUGGUGCUGGAGGCCCAGGGGGGCGCCGCCACGCCCAGCAUGUCCCUGUGUAUUUCAAUCCUUUUUCCCUCUUAAGAUUUUUCCCCAGUGCUGGGGAGAACCCAGGACCUCAAAUAUGCUAGCCAAAUGCUUCACCAGGAUGUAGUUUUUGACAAGCUGUCUGUCCAUUUAUUUAUUUUGGGUUUUUGAGACAAGGUCUCACUAUCUAGUCCAAGCUGGUCUCAAACUUGCAGUGAUCCUCCUGCCUCAGCCUCCCCAGUGCUGAAAGUACAAGCAUGUGCCCCCACUGGGCCUAUUUUUUAUUUUACUUUUCUGAGAUACAGGGUCUUGCUAUGUAGUUCAUGCUGCCCUCAAGCCCACAUCUCUUCUGCCUCAGCUUCCUGAGUGCUGGGAUUACAAGGUGUGUGUGCGCCACCAUGCCCAGCUUGGUUUUUUGAUUCUUUAUUCCAAAGGGUUUCUUAAUAAAACAGUAGAUUGGAGGGUUUGUUCAUUUCUUUGAGGUGCACUAUCUCAGUUAAUCCAUCAUUAUUUCUUUCAGGAUGAACCAAGAAGCAUGCCCUUCAAGUGUGUCUGCAGCUUCUGCGUCUCUCACGCAUGGGACCCUUUGGAGAACACUAGAAUAGGGAGUGAUUACAACACAGAGUCAGUGUAGGUGCAAGUCUUAGACAUCUGUGGGAUGAAUGAUGACAAUGUGCUUUGACUUUAUUUGACCCAGCAAGGCUCCAGUAGGUCUCAAGUCUCAGUAUUUUAAAGCCUGAAAUCUAUGAUGAAUGCCAAGGGUAGGCAGAUUUUUCUAGUUCUUACAAAUCUGAGUUGCAAUAAAAGGAAAUUGUGAUGUAACAUUUUAUUUUCAGAGGAACUUAUUAAAAUUGACUUUUGUUUGUUUUUGAGUCAGGGUCUCACUAUGUAGCCCAGGCUGGCCUUGAACUCCAUGUUGAUCUUUCCCCUUCAGCCUCACAAGUGCUGGGAUUACAGGUGUGCACCACCACACCUGGCUGAAAUGAACCUAUUAGCAUUUCUAAAAAUUCUUUUUUUUUUUUUUUUUUAUCAGUAUAGGAAAUUGAAAGAGUUCUUGAGGAUUCAGUGUAUUUUGCAGCGGCCCCCCCGGUGGAGUGGAGGAGUCGGUGCGCAUGUUGAGCUGGCCUCCUGUGGGGCCGACAGCAGGUGACUGCUGGGCAGCACUGGUCCAGCUAAGUCUGGAGCUGUCCCCGGCGCAGCUGCAGGUCCCCCGAGUGGAGGGCUCAUCCACAAAGCACGCCAGACGCUGGGCUGAUGCUUUUGAGCAAGCAGCUGUGGUGGGGUUCUGCCUGCCUCUCACAGGGGCAGUCAAAGAGCCGCUCAACCCACAGACUCAGGAAACUGCUAGAGAUACUGCGAAGGCCACAGAGGAACGAUCCAGUAGGAGGUGCACAGGCGAGACAUGGGAGAAAGGGACACAGGACUCCUGUGCCUCAGCCAGCACCCUCCAGAAACCCCGCGCGCUUAACUCUAUGGUGUUUUGGGGGUUUUUUUGUUGUUUUUUUUUUUUUUGGUACUGGGGAUGGAACUCGGGAUCUUGUGCUUGUGAGGCAGGGGGCAGAACCACUGAGCUAAAUCCCCAGCCUUUGUUUGGGUUUUUUGAGUCAUUAUGUAACCCAGGCUGGCCUUAAACUUGCAGUGAUCCUCCUGCCUCAGCCUCCUGAGUCCUGGAGCUAGAAUACAGGUCCAUGUUACCAUAUUCAGCUGUCUGGAAGCCCUCAGCACUUGUUCUCAGUGGAGUAGUAGGAGGCUGAGGAUGGAGGAUACUAAAUUUGAGGCCAGCCUGGGCAGUUUAGGGGGAUCUUGUCUCAAAAACAGGGCUGGGGUUAUGGCACAGUGGCAGGGCCCUUGUGCAGCAGGGACAAGGGCCUGGUCUGGGUCCCCAGCACUGCAACUGAACAUAAAAGGGCUGGGGCUGGGGCUCAGUGGUAGAGCACCAUCAGACACAGUGCUAGGGAGAGAUAGAUGCUCAGUCCUUUCCUGUUCUUAUGGGAGUGUAACUAGGCACAGUUGAUGACAGCAGGGAGUAUUGCUUUAUCAGCCUUUUGGGAGAAGGGAUGAAGUGGGAAAUUGCAGAUGUAAACUUAAGUUUUAUUUUGAAGUGGUCUUGCUAGAUAGUCCAGGCUGGCCUCUUGGCUCCACACCAUAAGCAGCCUUAGUUCACCAUAAAUUCCAAACUAUCAGCAAAUUGUUACAAUUCUGUUUUGUUACUGGGUAUUGUUCAUCUGUUUACCAUGUCUAGUUUCUUUGCUUUUUGUGUGUGGCAUUGGGGAUUGAACUCAGUGCCUUUGCACUGAGUUACAUCCUUUGCCUUUUGUUGUUUUGAGAUAGGGUAUCAAUAAGUUGACCUUGGUCUUGUGAUCCUCCAAGAGUUCUGGGAUUAUGGGUGUGCUCCACCAUGCCCAGCUUUUUUUGAGCUAUGUGCCCACCUGUGUCUGAUUUAUAAGCCUACAUGUGGGUUCCCUACGAGCACUGCCCCAGGUGUUCACUGGGGUUGGGGUCCGACCUUCCGGAUGAGGGGCUGCUGGGCAUCAGGAAGCUGGCAGUGAGCUGGGAGGCACAGGACAUCACAGCCAUGGUAUACGGGUGUCCUCAGGGGUGUCUGCCUUGUCCCUUCUGCCCAUGGCACAUGUAGGCAUGCCUGACAUUCUUUGCAGAUGCAAGAGAUAGGACACUUGUCCUCCCAGCCAGCAGCUGUCAUGGGUUACAAGUGACAAAACAGGAGGAAGGCAGCUGGAGACCUGGGUGGAGAAAGGAAGGCCCAAGGCCCCGGGAUGAGGUGGCUCAGGCAUUAACAGUGCAGGCCUAGAGGACUGAGUCACACCAGAUGGCCCUUCAGCAAGGGAACUAAGAGGCUGAGGCAGGAUGAUGGAAAGUUUGAGCCCAGCCUGGGUAAUGAAGCAACUUAUGGAGACCCUGUCUGCAAAUAAAAGAGUAAAAAGAGCCAGGGUUCAGGCCCCACUGCCACGUGCCCAUGCACACGGACACACUCACGCGAGGGCCACCACACGCUCCCCCAUAUUUGCCCCUCCGGCUGUGCUGUCCACCCAAGUGGGUGCUAGUGGGCAGUCCUUCCUGCAUCCCAAGCCGUCAUUACUAGCUUCCCUGCAUGGACUUGGGGACUACUGACUAGUGAAAAAGACAGCCAACUUAUUUUUAUCACAAUUUUACUAAAUUCAUAUAUUAAUGACAUUUAAUAUCCAAGAAUGUGGAUGAGUGAACAAUGCACUCUACCUGUCCUUUAACCUAGACAUUCAGUUAUUUUCUCCUUUCACAGUAACAGCUACAUUUAGGGGAUGUAAGCAUUGUUCUAAGUGUUGUUCAGGCCUUAAUUUGAUUCUCAAGAUACUUGAGGUUGGUCACUUUGGGUAUCUUCAUUUUAUAGAGAAAUAAAGCACAGAGACAACGAACCUGCUCCCGUUACAUCAGGGGCUGAUCUGAGGUAAACUUAGCACUUUCAGCAGAUUUUAAUGUUCUGGUUUCUGUUUGUUUGGGUGACAGUUUCCCUGCGGAGUUCAGUCUGGGCUCAAACUCAACUCUCCUGCCUUUGAGUCCCAAGUGCUGGGAUUGAGACCCAGUCUCACUAGUUCAGGCUGGCCUCGAAUUCCCAGUAGUCCUCCUGCCUCAUCCUCCUGAGGGCUGGAAUUACAGGUGUGCACCACACCCACUAAGAAGUUUAUUUUAGCUGUAAACCUACCCCUCAGGAGACUGAGGCAGGAGGAUCAUCACAAGUUUGAGGCCAGCCUGGCAUACACAGUGAGUUCAAGGCCAGCCUGAAUCUACAAGACCCUUCUCAGAAUAAAGAAUUAAAAAAUCGCUGGUGGUGUAGUUCAGUGUAAGCAUCCUGGGUUCAAUACCCAGAAAAGCAAAAGGUGAGAGGCGGCAGAGGGCUUAGUGGACAGUCCAGGGCCAGCUUCCGUCCCCACUGCCCCAGGAGAGGGCACCUAGACCCUGUACCAGUGCCCCCACGACUGCCCCAAGAGGCAUGAGGGCUGAGCAUCACCCCAGAGCAAGGGAUUUGGGGGCUGGAGGAGGGAGCCUGAGCCCCAGUCCAGCAGUGUGGCGGAGGGCCAGGUGAAGUCAGCCUGACCCGGGCUGUAGCACUGGGAGGGAGGGUGGAGGCCGCGCCUGACUGGGAGGGGCAGAAGGAGCUGGAAUCCAGCCCAGCUCAAGCCCAGCAAGGUAUUUCCAUGUUGAGGUUACAUUUUUGUUAGGCAAACUGUGCCACCACCACCCCACCCCCCGUGAAGAGCACAGCCGGCCUGAGUUUGGGAUUCAGGGGCUCCUGAAGCAGCUCCAGGAGAGUGGGGUCCACUUGGGCAA
rnacentral:lncRNA from 1 species